GCCCCGCUUUGCUCAUUAAAACCACAAAACUUUAUCCAAACUAACCAAACCAUUUGCCACACCUAGUAUCUGAGACAGAACAGCAUCUUGACGCUAUAGCAUAUAGUACCACAAGGGACCACUGAAAGAAUCAAUGAAAUAUACAAGCACAAUAAAGCAGAGACAAACACUCGUACCUUUUGCAUCAUGAUUUAGCAAGCACCCCCAGAUAAAGUGUCCUUUAAUCUGCCACCCCGAACCCAGACGAGCUACCCUGCGGCAAUUUAACAGAAUGAACCCGUCUCUGUAGCAAAAGAGUGGGACGACCGCAGGGUAGAGGCGAAACACCCAUCGAGCCUGGCGAUAGCUGGUUGCUCAUUAAACGAAUCUAAGUUCUACUAUGGGACAAUCCUACAAACCACACAUAUCCAACUGACUUCCCAUAAGCCAUACAAUAAAGGUACAGCUUUAUUGCACCGGAUACAGCCGAAAUUAGAGGGACCACUUAGGAAUAAUCACCAGUAGGCCCUAAAGCAGCCACCAAAUGCAAACCGCGUCAUAGCGCAAUACAAAAAAUCCAACCCUACACAUCCACCCCCUAUCAAAACUACUGAGCCAUUCUAGCCACUAGAAGAGAUACUGCUAAAACUAGUAAUAAGGACAACGCCCUCCUUCGCACGACUUUGAACCAAAACUAGAUAUACUACUGGUAUCUAACAGACCUGAACAAGGCACACUACUUUCCCCACCCACACACUGUCACCCCAACACUGGCGUGCAUAAAAGAUAGACUAAAAGCCACAGAAGGAAUUCAGCUAACAUGUCCCAACUGUUUACCAAAAACAUAGCCUUUAGCCAAACAAGUAUUAAAGGUACUGCCUGCCCAGUGACUAUUUAAACGGCCGCGGUAUCCUAACCGUGCAAAGGUAGCAUAAUCAUUUGCCCCCUAAUUAGAGGCUAGCAUGAAUGGCUAAAUGAGGACAUAACUGUCUCCUAAAGCAAGUCAAUGAACCUGAUCUUCCAGUCCAAAAGCUGGAAUAAAACCAUAAGACAAGAAGACCCUGUGGAGCUUAAAAUACUAAUGCUACCACGAUUAAUCACCAAUAACCCAAAAACGUAAACUAGCACCUAUUUUUAGUUGGGGCGACUACGGAGAAAAACAAAACCUCCACGGCAAGGAAAACCUCCCAGAAAGGCCUACAAGCCAAGACACUGACCCAGUAAUACUGAUCAACGAACCAAGUUACCCCAGGGAUAACAGCGCCAUCCUCUUUAAGAGCCCCUAUCGCCAAGAGGGUUUACGACCUCGAUGUUGGAUCAGGACCCCCUAGUGGCGCAGCCGCUACUAAAGGUUCGUUUGUUCAACGACUAACGUCCUACGUGAUCUGAGUUCAGACCGGAGCAAUCCAGGUCGGUUUCUAUCUAUGAACAGCUUUCUUUAGUACGAAAGGAUUAAGAAAGCAGUGCCAAUAGUCCAACUACGCACUACAACAAAAACUGAAAUCAACUCAAGCUCCUCACCCCACCCCCCGCCCGAGACUAGGGCAACAC
rnacentral:rRNA from 1 species